CAUUAUUAAAAACACACAAAGUCUACUUGUGAGUCGUGUUUUAUUGUCAUAAAUAUCGCAUCUUACAAAAGAUUUAUUUUUUUUUUAAAAAAGGUUACAAACACGAGCUGUAGUGAAAGAAAAACAUCGACUGUGUUCAAUGUGGCUCCAUACGUCGGGUUCUUAGUAGCGCGUCUCGGGCUCCAAUACGGUGCACGUGUAUAAACGUGAACAUUUUGCACAAAAAUGACUACAAUGUGGGCCUCUUUGGCUUUCUUUUAUUUAUUUAAAAAAAAAAAACAUACAAAAAUACAGUAGAAAGAAAUGAGGUAUAAAACAAAUGUACAAAACUAAACAGGGAGAAGAGUCACCUUUUUUCUUUGGGUGGGGUGGGGUGGAUGGGUGUUUAUAAAGACGCAGUGGCUUUGGCGACGGCUGACAGAAGCGCUCUUUCCCAAUGUGUGAACGCUACACCAAAAAAAAAAAAACAUCCCCGAAAAAUUAGCACCAUGUAACAGUGGCUCUGUUAUUACACGUCCUCCCUGAAACACACAAAACAGCCGGGUUAGGUCAUCGGACCACGACAUCCAACUCGGAGCCGGCGUUUGGGUUCUGCACGAAACACCCACGCGCAUCAUCUGGGAAAUGCUUUGAAGCCUUUGUGUCCCAUUGUUUUCGACACUUCAUCCCAAGUACAGUCAUUUGUCUCCAGGCACCCUUUACCGUGUGUGCUUGUGGUCUGUUAUUUUCAUUCACUCGCCUUUAUUAGCAUGUCUCACACACACACACACACACACACACACACAGGAUCAACUGAGUGUCUUGCAAUUAGGCUUUGAAAUACACAGUAUAACAGUCUGGAUUUGUUUGUUUUGGCACAUUUUCAAAGAAGAUGGUGAUUUUUAAAAUUUCUAACAUCUGCCUUUCGUGUGUUGAAGACUGUACAGGUUCCUGUUUAAAGACGUGCAACUCGGAGUUAUACGUCGUGUACAGCGAACGGAUUCAUACCGGUUUUGGCACAAACCCACAUUUUACAGUGGUUGGAGGUCAGUUCCUAUCUACACACCAGCAGCAGCAGCAGCACGACG
ensembl:lncRNA